AGAAUUCCGUUGAUGAGAAGAGUAGUUUCUGAUCUUUUUUUUAGAGAGACCUUGUAAGGUGAAAAAGGUUAUAAGAUAAGAAAUGAAGAUGGUCUCGGAGGAUAAGUCAUCGAUAGGUAGAUGAUUUCGAAAGGUUCAAUCGUUAUCUUGAAUGCCAUUUCUUUGAUUUGAGAUGGGUUAAGAGAAGCUUUAGCUUCUAAAACAAGGUGGUACCGUGAAAAUUUCGCCCUUUUA
rnacentral:ncRNA from 1 species